rnacentral:tRNA from 1 species
CGGAUCUUAAAAAAUCCCCUAAA